rnacentral:rRNA from 1 species
UGGGGAAUAUUGCACAAUGGGCGCAAGCCUGAUGCAGCCAUGCCGCGUGUGUGAAGAAGGCCUUCGGGUUGUAAAGCACUUUCAGCGAGGAGGAAGGUGGUGAACUUAAUACGUUCAUCAAUUGACGUUACUCGCAGAAGAAGCACCGGCUAACUCCGUGCCAGCAGCCGCGGUAAUACGGAGGGUGCAAGCGUUAAUCGGAAUUACUGGGCGUAAAGCGCACGCAGGCGGUUUGUUAAGUCAGAUGUGAAAUCCCCGGGCUCAACCUGGGAACUGCAUUUGAAACUGGCAAGCUAGAGUCUCGUAGAGGGGGGUAGAAUUCCAGGUGUAGCGGUGAAAUGCGUAGAGAUCUGGAGGAAUACCGGUGGCGAAGGCGGCCCCCUGGACGAAGACUGACGCUCAGGUGCGAAAGCGUGGGGCAGCAAACAGGAUUAGAUACCCCUGGUAGUCCAGCGCUGUAAACGAUGUCGAUUUGGAGUUGUGCCCUUGAGGCGUGGCUUCCGGAGCUAACGCGUUAAAGUCGACCGCCU